UAGCAACUGUCUUGAGGAUUCACUCGGCGAAAUUGCGUUGGCUGUGAAGACGCGGCCUAAUCCCACUUGGACAAAAAGACCCCGUGGAGCUUUACUGUAAUUUGGCAUUGCCUUAACAAUUUUUGAUUGUCUAGAAUAGGAGGGAGAGUAAUCAACCGUGUAAUACCUCUCGUUGGAGAUUGUUGGGCUUACUUAGAUCCCUUGAAGACAGGGAUGGGAAAAGUGCUAGAUGGACAGUUUUACUGGGGCGGUACCCUGCCAAAGAGUAACGCAGGGGCACAAAGGUUGGCUUGUUACGGAUGGAAACCGUAAUUUAACUGCAAAGAGAUAAGCCAGCUUGACUGCAAGACCGAAGGGUCGAGCAGGUACGAAAGUAGGUCUUAGUGAUCCCCCGAUCCUUCAUGGGAGGGACGGGGCUUAACUGAUAAAAGCUACCCCGGGGAUAACAGAGUAGUCGCGAUAACAGAGUAGUCGCGCCCGAGAGUCCAUAUCGACGGCGCGGUUCGCUACCUCACGAUGUCGGCUCAUCACAUCCUGGCGCUGAAGAAGGUGCCAAGGGUUGGUCUGUUCGCCCAUUAAAGUGAUACGCGAGCUGGGUUCAGAACGUGUGAGACAGUUCGGACUCUAUCCAGUGGGAUCGUUCGAGUUUUGAUAGGAGCUCUUCUCAGUACGAGAGGACCAGAAGGGGGGAAUCCCUGGUGUG
rnacentral:rRNA from 1 species